UCGCAAUGCCCGAAAGGGUGACGAAGCGACGCCGCGUGGGUGAGGAAGGCCUUCGGGUUGUAAAGCCCUGUCAGGAGUUAAGAAAUGUAAGUGCGCUAAUAUCGCAUUUAUUUGACGAAGGCUCCAAAGGAAGCCACGGCUAACUCUGUGCCAGCAGCCGCGGUAAUACAGAGGUGGCAAGCGUUGUUCGGAAUUAUUGGGCGUAAAGAGCACGUAGGUGGGUUUGUAAGUCAGAUGUGAAAGCCUUCUGUUCAACGGAAGAAUUGCAUCUGAAACUGCGAGUCUUGAGUGUAGGAGGGGAGAAUGGAACUUCUGGUGGAGCGGUGAAAUGCGUAGAUAUCAGAAGGAACGCCGGCGGCGAAAGCGAUUCUCUGGCCUAUUACUGACACUCAGUGUGCGAAAGCUAGGGGAGCAAACGGGAUUAGAUACCCCGGUAGUCCUAGCCGUAAACGAUGGGCACUAAGUAGAGGGGUUUU
rnacentral:rRNA from 1 species